UACAGAGGUGGCAAACGUUGUUCGGAAUUACUGGGCGUAAAGAGCGCGCAGGCGGUCGUUCAAGUCGCGUGUGAAAGCCCCCGGCUCAACUGGGGAGGGUCACGCGAUACUGAUCGACUCGAAGGCAGGAGAGGGUAGUGGAAUUCCCGGUGUAGUGGUGAAAUGCGUAGAUAUCGGGAGGAACACCAGUGGCGAAGGCGACUACCUGGCCUGUUCUUGACGCUGAGGCGCGAAAGCUAGGGGAGCGAACGGG
rnacentral:rRNA from 1 species